UUUUUUUUUUUUUUUUUGGCCUUUUGUAGUCUUUUUUUGAGACAUAUCUGUUCAUGCCCAGGCAUACAUUUUAAAGGGGUUAUUUCUUUUUUGCUUACUUAUCUCUUUAAGUCCCUUGUAGAGGAAAAUCACUUCGACCAUGAAGUCACCACCAAACAGCCUCUCCUUACUGCUGCAGGUACGGAUCUCGCUAUCCCCAAGACACGCCACUGACUCAUGUCCAGUAACCAAACCCUUGCCUUUCAGCUUCCUUUACCUUGUGCUUUGCUGGGUACCCCAAGGUUGACAUCAUUGAGUGGAAUUUUGCUGAGAUCACCAUUUGCCUUCAGUGUAAUCCCAUUACUUUAUGGUGCAAGGAACUUAUAGAGUCUCAGUCAAAUUUUAAGGCUGCCCUAGAAGCUAUGCAAAAACUAUGAACUUGGGGGACCUGUGUGUAACAACCCCAUGCCCAAAUCUAACCAACUCUUCAGUGAUAACCCUCAUGCAGUGCUGGGGAAAUGCCUAUGGACUGGAGUGUGUUCUGUGUAGAGGAAGCAAGUCCAGGUUUCACUUCUAAAGGACAUGAAGGCAUUACCAGAACUCAGAGAUCUUCCUCAUGUGCAUAUACACCACUUCAUAUUUUGCCCUAUAACCUUGUCACUAGGCCCCUACAGGCACCUGCUAAUGCCCUAGAACCUAAAACCUUCACCUGGGCCUCAGUUUCCCCAAACAGCCCGACUUUCUUUUUCUGCUGGGAUGAGACUAUUGCUGACUUCCUCCAAUGCUGAAGUUCCUGGGGCUGUCACACAUCAGGAGCUCACUGCUUCCUCAAGAGACAGCCAACCCCACUGCUCUGCCACAGCCACCACCCCCACAAGGCUUGAGACACCUCUUCCUUCAUUAAGAUUGAGGGAGAUGCUUCAGCUGUCACUCCACUGCCCCCAGUCCACCACAGCCCAAUACCUGCUUCCUUCACACAGAGCUUCAGGGGAGGCCAUGAGUGCCCAGCCUGCUGGACCGGCGCUGUACACGACCCUCCCAUGGUGACAGGGGCUUCCCGGCCUGCACACUGGGUUCAGCAACCUCACCUUAGGUAUUUAUUCCCUCAGGAGUGACUGAUUCUUUUCUCAUUUUCAGAAACCUUAUUCCACCUACCUCACUAUGAGAAAGAGACUGAGGGUAAUGAGUGGUAUAUUUAAAACGUAAACGAGUCUCCCUAGGACUUCUCAAACAACACAGGAGGGACCAGAGGAGCUGAAGCCCGCAUAUCUCAAGCACUCAGUGAUCGUCCCACUCAUGCUGUGUGUAUGGAGACUCAUAAGCCUGCCCAGAAUUGGCUACGGAACAAGGUAUUUGAGCACACAGCACCAGGUGAUGCAAGCUAACACCCAUCUCGCUGCCACCUUGGCCGCCUCCCUGAGAGAUUUCCAAGAGACAUUAGGUCUCAAGCAGCAAACUCAGGAGUCCUUGGACCCGAUGGUCCUAGACACUCGUUUAGCCUUAAACUGUCCAUUGCCCAAGCAAUGAGGCAACUGUCCGCUCCAGGGAACCACAUGCUGUGUGCACAUCCUUAACGAACCCAACAGAACCUGCCCUGCCUGGAAACACAAGCCGAGGUGAUAUUCAGUCUCAACCAGGUGGUCUGCAACAUCCCAGCCCAGCCAUCGGCUUUGAUGUUUUGUUAUGGUGAGAGCACAGGUACUGGGGAGGCUGGUUCAGGCAAGAUUCCUAAUCCUUUCCUGUGCAUGGGUGUCAAUUAGGUCAGGUCCUUGUCUCGCUAACAGAGCGUAUCCUGUGAGAUGCAGGCCAGGCUCUCUUGGGGGCUUUAAAUAUUCCCUUGAUGCAGCGAGCUCAGCCUCAGCCACCAGCACAGGCAUCUCGGGGUCCAUUGUCUUAGGAGUCAUGGGGAAUCCAUCGUUGGUUGCUGCCUGGGCCUGGCCAGGGCUGAACUGACCAAGGAAGAUAAGGGGAGCCUCCCUGGACUCCUGUGUGAACCCAGGCUUCCCACCAAAUUUCUCAACUGUCCUUGCCAAAAGAGUUAUUUAAUGUACCCAACGGAAAGUAACCCAGGAUAUUAGGACACCUGAUCCCAAAUGACACUUAAAUAGGGAAGUCCUCUCCUGUUUGUGCACAACUGCCCUUGUUACAGGAGAACUGGGACAGAGGACUGCUGUCUGCCCUCUCUGGUCACUCUGCGUAGCACAAGGAUCUGUAAGUAACAGAAACCUUAAACUUUCCCAUUGAGGUUUCAACAUGGAAGCUGUGUCCCCAGUCUGACCUGUGACUCCUGGGCCACCCCAGAGGGACCUAGUGGGUGAAUUCCCUGCUGUGCUU
ensembl:lncRNA